rnacentral:tRNA from 1 species
GCCGCCUUGGCUCAGUUGGUAGAGCGUUACAUUGGUAAUGUAAAGGUCCCGGGUUCGAUCCCCGGAGGUGGCU